rnacentral:rRNA from 1 species
GACGAACGCUGGCGGCGUGCCUAAUACAUGCAAGUCGAACGCAGUGGGUACGGGUGAGUAACACGUGGGUAACCUCCCCAUCAGAGGGGAUAACACUUGGAAACAGGUGCUAAACCGAUACUGAUGGAUGGACCCGCGGUGCAUUAGCUAGUUGGUGAGGUAACGGCUCCCCAAGGCCACGAUGCAUAGCCGGCCUGAGAGGGUGAUCGGCCACACUGGGACUGAGACACGGCCCAGACUCCUACGGGAGGCAGCAGUAGGGAAUCUUGGGCAAUGGGCGAAAGUCUGACAGAGCAACGCCGCGUGAGUGAAGAAGGUUUUCGGGUCGUAAAACUCUGUUGUUAGAGAAGCGGUAGCUAACCAGAAAGCCACGGCUAACUACGUGCCAGCAGCCGCGGUAAUUC